rnacentral:rRNA from 1 species
GAUGAACGCUGGCGGCGUGCCUAAUACAUGCAAGUCGAGCGAACGGACGAGAAGCUUGCUUCUCUGAUGUUAGCGGCGGACGGGUGAGUAACACGUGGAUAACCUACCUAUAAGACUGGGAUAACUUCGGGAAACCGGAGCUAAUACCGGAUAAUAUUUUGAACCGCAUGGUUCAAAAGUGAAAGACGGUCUUGCUGUCACUUAUAGAUGGAUCCGCGCUGCAUUAGCUAGUUGGUAAGGUAACGGCUUACCAAGGCAACGAUGCAUAGCCGACCUGAGAGGGUGAUCGGCCACACUGGAACUGAGACACGGUCCAGACUCCUACGGGAGGCAGCAGUAGGGAAUCUUCCGCAAUGGGCGAAAGCCUGACGGAGCAACGCCGCGUGAGUGAUGAAGGUCUUCGGAUCGUAAAACUCUGUUAUUAGGGAAGAACAUGUGUGUAAGUAACUGUGCACGUCUUGACGGUACCUAAUCAGAAAGCCACGGCUAACUACGUG